GCUUCGAGUUGCCCGCGACGAAGCUGCUCGACUUCGGUGCCUCCCCUCCGUGUGGUUCCGCUCGAGGGCCGUGCGGUUCCUUGUGAGGGGAGGGCUCGGCUGCUCCGACGCCUCAAGGUGCACGAGCGAUCCAAGGACCUUUGUGCUGGCUCAGCGGAUCUCACGAAUUCCACCACCACUGCUAGCCGCCGUCCAUGCUCCGGCGUCAGCAGCUCCAGCAAGACGGCGACUUCUGCUUCUUCCUGUCCCAUGAAGCGUCCUCCAAGCUGCCCCCAAUUCCCCACUCUCUUCUGACCUCCGCCUCACGACCGAGUCCAAUGUUAUGCAUGCUCAUUGAUCCUUCUUGUUAAUGGAAUUGUGGCACGGGUGUGGCUGGGAGAAAAUG